rnacentral:rRNA from 1 species
UUUUUGGAGAGUUUGAUCUUGGCUCAGGACGAACGCUGGCGGCGUGCCUAAUACAUGCAAGUCGAGCGCGGGAAUCUCUUCUGAUCCCUUCGGGGUGAAGAGAGUGGAACGAGCGGCGGACGGGUGAGUAACACGUGGGCAACCUACCUAUAAGACUGGGAUAACUCGCGGAAACGUGAGCUAAUACCGGAUAAUACUUUUUAUUGCAUAAUAAGAAGUUUGAAAGGCGGCGUAAGCUGUCACUUAUAGAUGGGCCCGCGGCGCAUUAGCUAGUUGGUGAGGUAAAGGCUCACCAAGGCAACGAUGCGUAGCCGACCUGAGAGGGUGAUCGGCCACACU